rnacentral:lncRNA from 1 species
CAGCCCCCGCCGGCCCCGCGCCCACACCCGCGCUCGCACCCGCGCGCCGGCCCUGCCCCCUCGCGCCUCCGCCCGGGCCCCAGACCCUGGGGGCAGAGGGCAGAGGGCAGAGGUCAGAGGCCGCGGGGAGGAACCCCCCUGUUGCUUCCGCCUCCCGGGGCGCAGGCGCUGGGCGCGGCGGGGAAGGGACUCGGCACUGGGGAAACCCGGAGUUUCAGCCAGGGUCCCAGGGCUUCCUUCCCGGGUUCCUGCCGGAAAACUUUUCUCCUCCGCCCGGAAGCCUCGAUGGGGCAGUGAGAUCGCGGGGCGAGCCUGUCCUGCUCUGGCCUGCCCUGUGCUCAGGAAGCUGGCGGUCCCCCUCAGUGGAUCUUCACCCACAGGGACAACCUGCUGCAGACCGGGUAGGAGGGAGGCAGGGGCCUCUUCCCCUCUCCUUCCUGGCCUGGCCCCACACCCACCAGUGUUGGUUUCACUCUGUGGCUACGAUUCUUCCUGGGUGCCCUUUCCAUUGCACAACUCCUCUAGGCUCUACGAACAGAACUUCUCCCCGCCCCCAAGCCUCUUAGGGUGAGACAUGUUGUCGGUCUGCCAUUGUUGCUGGUCCCUAAAUAGCAGCACCCUUUGAAGGAUCCUUGAACCAUGACCACACCGCAACAAAGAGUCCUUCAUCAAACUCGCUUCCAAAUCCCCUCCCAAGAACACCUUCAGUUUCCUGCAAGAACCCUGACUGCUGAAGCCGGAUUUUGACUAAGCUUCUACCUUGUAAACCGUGACUGUGGGAUUGGGGUCGAGGCGCAAUCAGAGGUUGUAUAAGGCACUAGAUCAAGGCUGCCUGUCUGUCAGGAGUGUCUGCUUUAUUCAGUAGUAAAUGUGAAUUGUUUUUCAUUCUGUUGUGAAUACUGUUGGUUGACAAUGCAGCAGCCAUGCCCUCUCUAUCCUUGCUGGUUCAGGUAUCCACUCUGUGUGGCUAAGGGUAAACUCUGUCUCUUGAGAAAAUCUUGGUAACUCCAUUUCUCUUUCCAACAAUUGGCUUCAAACAAGCUCAAGUCAAUGAGUCCCAACAGGAAGCCUGCUGGGGGUUGUCUGGCAAAGGUUUUCUCACUCCUACAGGAACAUAAAGAGGAAAUGCUCCUUUUUCCCUGGUGAAUGUUGCAUUCCCUGUCUGGAUGCAAUGCCUGGUGCUCCGCAGCCCUUUGCACUUAUAAGAGAAGGUGGCCGGAAGAGCAUCUUCACCCUGGGGUGGCCGCCUGGGAAGAUGAGAAGAGCAGGAGUCCUUGGUGGCACAACCAGGCAAUUCACCAAAAUCCUGCUGCCCUCACCUGGAAUUUCCUGCUAUGAGAGACGUCUCCGUUUAAACCACAUGAGCUGGAUUUUCUGUUUCUAACACAUGUCAGCAUCUUCACGGUAAAUCUAAGAAAAAAAAAUCAGGGCUAUUAAAAAACAAAGUCCAACUCACCCUGUGCUAUGGUCUGAAGGUGUCCUCCCAAAUUCACACGUGGAAACCUAAUCCCAAAUACCUGAUACCUAAUCCCAAAUAUUAAGAGGUGGGGGCCUUGGGAGGUGGUUAGGAAUGGGAUUAGUGCCCUUUAAAACUGAGGUUUUUGGGAGCCUGCUUGCCCUUUCUGCCAUAUGAAGAUGCUUAGAAGAGGCCUUCUAUGAAGCAGAGAACUUUUCUCAGAUGCCAGAUCUGCUGGGACCUUGAUCUUGGAUUUCUCAGCCUUCAGAACUGUGGGAAGCAAACUUCUGUGUGUAUGAAUAGCCAUCUAAAGGAUUUUGUUACAGCAGCCUGAGCAGACUAAGACACCCUGUGAGUCAGUUAUUUUUGGCUGUGUCACGAGUGACCGCGAGUGCAGGAGCUGAAACGGCAGUGAGUGGGUUACCAUUUCUCAGGACCCUGCGGAAUUGGUGCGAUGGUGCUUCUGCUCCACCUGUUGUUGGCUGGGAUUGUCCUGCAGCUGCAUUCUUCUGGGGGUCAGCUGGGGCUGGAAGCUUCCUGUGGUCUAGUCACACAGCUGGGGUCUCAGCUAGGGUGAUAGAACACUGGGGGCAGGCCGGCCUUGCUGUCUCUCUCUGGCUUCUCAUCAUUCAGUGGUCUAGCCUGAGUUUUUUACAUGGCAGCUCAGGAGGGUCAAUGUGGACGCUAUACAGCCUGUAAGGCCCGGGUUUGGAAGUCCAAGAAUAUGACUUCUACCAUGUUCUACUGGUGAAUAUAAAUUCCAAGGCCAGCCUAGAUUCAAGGGAUAAGAACGUAGAUUUCACUCCUUGAUGGGAGGAUCCCAUGUACAGACAGGGAUCCUUAUGAGGGAUUAUGAGAACUCCUAAUCCUUAUGAGGGAUUAUCAUACAGAGAAUUUAUGGGGGAUUAUCUUUGGAAAUAAUCUACCAUAGACUGAAUAAAUGAUAAUGUAAUGUG